UUAAGAUCAUCGUCACAGAUGGUGUGCUGCUGUAUGUGGGUCUGACUCUGGUCAUCAGCGUACUCCUGUCCUCUGUGGCUGUGCUGAUACACAAGAAAAGAGCCUCUAAACCCAAAGAACAUCCUGAGGAAACAGAGUGUGCUAAUGUCACAGAGGCCAGCCCAGUGUACGAGGAGAUCAGAGAGGGCGACGGACAGAGCAGAUCUCCUCCUGUGGAAAACUCAGUUGAAGCCUCAGGUGUCUACAGCUUGGUCACUGCUACAGCAUCCCGUCCUCUG